rnacentral:sRNA from 1 species
GCUGGGCAUGGCAGUGUGUGCCUGUAAUCCCAGCUACUCGGGAGGCUGAGGCAGGAGAAUUGCUUGAACCCAGGAGGUGGAGGUUGCAGACAACUGAGAUUGCACCACUGCACUCCAUCCUGGGCAACAGAGCAAGACUCUGUCUCUA